rnacentral:rRNA from 1 species
CCAAGGAGUGCAACACGCCCGCGAGUCUUUGGGUGGCAAACCCGCCGGCGAAAUGAAAGUGAAGGCGCCCUCGGGUCGCGGCGAGACCGAGAAAGGCGGUGCAUCGUCGACCGAUCCUAUCCACGCCGUGGGGGAUUCGAGUUAGAGCGUGCCUGUUGCGACCCGAAAGAUGGUGAACUAUGCCUGAAUAGGGUGAAGCCAGAGGAAACUCUGGUGGAAGCUCGUAGCGAUUCUGACGUGCAAAUCGAUCGUCAAAUUUGGGUAUAGGGGCGAAAGACUAAUCGAACCAUCUAG